rnacentral:lncRNA from 1 species
AGAACCGCAGCUGCUGCAGCAAGUCCCAGCCAUCCGCCCAGGAAGCGCCGCAACCGGGACUUGGGAGGGGCGGAGGGGGAACCAGGCAGGGGCCACCGUCGAAGGGGAUUCUUGCCCCCACUUUGCACCAUACACUCUUUUCCCAGCCCAGGGCCACAGGAACAAAAUCAGGCUAAAGCCUAUCAGGCCAAGCCCUUGAGGAAUGCUGGGGUUCGGCGUCAGAAGGGAUGGGACCUGAGAGAAGGGUGUGAAGGAGACCCCUGUAGAGGCAGGACAUUGCGGGGAAAGAAGGGCAAGAAGAGGCCGAGAAGUCGAGGGCCAGACUGUGAAGGAGAAUAAAGGAGGUCAAAGAGAGGUCGUAUCUUCGUACCUCACUUCCUGACACAAACAAGUUUUUACUGUUGUCAGCAACAAAGCCCUAAUAUAGCUGCGGAAGAGAAGAACUGCAUUGCAUUUGCCUCCUGCAAGCAUCAUCAACACGGUUACCAGAGGAAUUUAAUUCCAGAAAAGCUUUAAAGCUGGUGUGAUGGUAAUUACGUAUCAAAUGCCUGAUUCUAUUUUUGUUAUUAUUGUUUUGUCAUUUCUGAUCUACCCAAGAACUGGCUGAACUCUCAGAGAGAAAAUCCAGUUUUUCUUUUUGUCUUGGUAAAAUUUAAUAGAAAAACUGAUAGAAAAACUCAUUGCUCUUGGGGAAAAUAAAGUAAGAGCCACGAAAUGUCAUUUUAACAGAGCGUGGGUUUUGUGAGUGUAGGAAAGGAUUUAAGGACGCUCCUUCUGUUCGGUUUCCUAUGUAAUGAGCAAAGGCUACACGCACGCACAGACGCCACAGCUCCCGGAUGCUAUGGCUCCCUUAUCUGGGCUUCUGCAGCGCCAGAAGCCUCUCCGGGAUGCUUCGAGGGGCUCUCGGUGGGUGGUGGUACGAACGCUGCGGCCGCCGACACCGCCAGUCCUGCCGCUGCUGUUGUUGCUGCUGCAGUCACGUGGGAGGCCCUUUAAGUUUCCAUAGAGAGGCCUCUCUGGUGUCACAUGAUGGACAUGAUAUAAUGAAACAACAUUGUGGAGAGGAAAGCAUUAGGGGAGCCCACGGCUACAAAAACAAGUGAGUGAGAAGAGGUGGGAGGAAGAGAAACUACGCCACCUCUCCUGCAGCUGAGCCGCGCGCAGCAGCAGCCCGGGGGAAGUGGGCGACGCCGGGGGGAAGGGAGACCGGGUCCCCAGCCCCAGCCGGGGGACCCCGCCGCCCACUGCCGAGAGAACAACUUUUAGCCGGCAGCCUCAGCCAGCACUGCACCUGUCUCCGAAGCCUCCAUCGUUUCUCGUGAUGGUCAAGGGGAAAUUCUAGAAGAAUAUGCUCUACAAAAUAUACAUGCGCAUCAUUUUCCCCCUUGCGUCUCACGCUGGAGGAAGGAAAGAGAAAGGGAUUUAAGCAGCAGCGUGUCUUCAGCCCCAAGCACCACCAAGCUGCCCUGGAAUGGAACUUCUGCUCAGUUCUUGGAUUGAGGGUUGGAGGAGGAGUUUACUUCAUUCAUUCUCAGGGACUCUUAACUGGUGAGAAGAAUUUAGGAUAUUUUACCAUCUGGAGUUUCUCUGCCUCACUGGUGAUUUAAACUCAAACCUGCCAGUUUAUGCAAGAUGAUAGAAAGUACCCUGUAACAUCUGAGUUGCAAAAAUAUCUGCCUCUGAGAGCUCAGGAGGAUCUGCUUUGUGGGAGCAAAGGUAGUGAGUCAUACCUGGAAGCUUGCGCCUCUUCAUCCAGUCAAGUCUCCUAGGCAACAGUUUAUGCAGCACUUAAAAGAUGAGGAGUUAAGAGGAGAAAAUGGAAAAAAAAAAACAACAGAAGUACUUUUAAUGGAACAGAAUAAACCACUGAACAGGUACCAGAAAUUAUUAGGAGUUGGGUACAACAUAAUUAAACGAGUUAAUAUUUGUGAAGUCCUUAGAAGGUUACCUGGCAUGUUUAAAUAACUGCAUACGUGUUUGCUAUUAUUAAGUUCCUUUAAAUGUACCUUAGCCCAGAACAAAUCAGUAGUACAGCCAAGAACUACCCAACAACAACAACAAAAAACCCUUUUCCCCUAAAGCAAGUGUGAACAUCAUUGGUAAAUGCUGUCAUGGUCUCUGUAUGACUUGUUAUAGUGGUCUGAGAAACUUAAUUUCUUAAUCUCUGAGCCCUCUGAGUGUUUGAAUACCCAUUCAUUUUUGGUUUUGAGCACUCAUUCAUGAUGACUUUUAAGUGUCAGAUCAGUUUCAAUUUUUUGGAAUAAAGCAAGCUUCCUUAAAAUUCUCCAAGAGCUUUUCAUGUGGGGAGGUGGCUUCAUUUUCAGGGAGGCGCCGAGGUAGCCUGUGGAUAGUUAGUAAAGACAGAGGUGACAGCAUGAAGAUCCGCACUCACAUUUUCUGAGGGCGCCAGUGAUUACCUGGAAUAAGACGUUUCAACCUGCUGCCCCUGCCCCCGCACUAACUUCCCAUCAUAAAACUGCCGGUGUUACUGAGGGCUACCGACACUUUCAACAAACACUGAUAAGGGGCAAAUUAUGUGCCAAGUAUUGUGCUUGGCCUUGAACGUGUCUCCUCUCUCCUCACCCACCCACCUCUCCGGAUCGGCACCAGCUCCUGCCGCCUUCACCGCGCUGUGGGGAGACCUGGCUCCCCCGGCAUCCGGAGGGAUGCUUUCCGUGCCACCGUCCGUCCGUCUGUCUCUCCGGCUCCUCCCCCUCCGCACCCGAGCACUGCUCAUUCAGGCGGGGGAGGCACGCUGGGAGGCAGGCCCUGUGGUUUGAUACUGCUUUAGACGGCCGUCUUCCCCCAGAUUGCUGUGUCACAGUGUACACAGUUCCUUUAAAUGCCCCGUUGUUUCAUGUUUUGCCGUGUUUCCCCUCUGCGAUCUGGGGAUAUGACCUUGGGAAGUUACUUUUCUGUUCGGAGGUGUUCCGGAAGUGUAACUUGAGAGAGGCGGGCGCUGGUGGUGGGCUCGGUGUGUCAGUGGUUCUCAAACCUUUUUCUUGGAACCCCCAGGAAGUGUCAUGUUAGGACCCCGUGCGCCCACUUCCACGUGUGGAUGUGUGGAUUCCCGACACACCUUUACCGUAUGAGGGCUGCGAUAGAGUUUUCUAGUCUGUCCGAUUUCCUAUCACGUUUUCUUUUCUCCCUCCUCUUUUCUUUGGAGCGCUCCUCAUAACCCACUAGUCAGCUGCGCUUCGGCAGCGCGAGGUAUUUUUGUGCGGUGGUGGGGCACCUGCUUUUUCUUGCCUUUCUCUCCAUUUUCUGUGGUAAUGUGCCUAAGUCUCUUUUAUCCAUAAAUGUGCUCCCCCCCCAACUUGCCAUAACUUAAUUCUUUAUGUGUGAAACUCUUUCCCUAACUUAGCUCCUGUUUUUGUUUUCUCAUGUACCAUUCACUGCUCAAUAUUACAGUGAUUCACAAUAUUUUAGUGACUUCUGUGGAAUGCUAGCAAAAUUCUUGUUGAUUUGAGGCCAUGUAUUUAUAAAGGAAUCAUAAUUACGUACACCUAGGAUUAUUCAGUAUGCUCAACAAAUUUUCGUGGUUGUAAUGUGCAAAUGGUUCUUGUAAUUAAAGAUAAACUAAUAUUCAGCUGUCUUUGAGGAAUAUUUCUAAGGUUUAUAGGCAAUAAAUGAGACAGCAAAUCCUAGUUUUCUGUAUUAAAAAUAUGUCAUUUGAGUAGUCUUAGAAAUUUCUAAAUAUUCUGUUAUUGAAGCCAAGGCAACGUUGUUCUCUUGGUUCUUUGAGUAAUUAAGCCUUCCCAUGUAGUUAUGAAUACAGCAUAUUUGCCAAAAACUUUUAGCCAAAUAUUAUACUAUAGUAUAACAUUAUAUUAUAAUACUUAACCACAUAUUAUAGAUUAAUACAUUUCUACAUUUUACAAUUAUUUUAAAUGUCACAUUAGACGAUUUGAGUUACUUUGUUUUGCAGAAUCUAAGGUUUGAAAAUAUUGAGAAAAGAGAAUAAAGCAGACUUUGACAGCUAGUAGAUGUUAAGGUGUAUUUAUCAAAAUCUUUUGAAAAAAUCAUCUAGGAUUUCGUUUUGAUUUUUCUUUUUUUCCAUUUACUUUCUAAAGCAAUUUUAAAUGAAUCAUAAAGUAUUUUUUCCAGUAAAUAAAUAGAUCAUGUACAAUAAUAAAACUUUCUGAUGUUUUCUUCUUAGCCAUAAUUAAGGGACUAAACUAACUCCUUCCUGGACAUCUGUUCUUCAGAUAUAUUCUUCCUUCUUUUACUCACUAAUUACUUUGAAGAUUAAUUAAAUCAGUACAGUAGUCUGUAGCCAUGUGCAUUUGUACCAUUUGGGUUAGGAUGCAAUUAAUGUAUCAUCUCUGCCUGGAAGAGGACCAUGGAGGGUGCCAGUGAUGCAGUGGCACUUUUCUGGCAGUCAUACCAUCUUGAGGCAGUUGAAGGCCAGUCCUAGGAACAUGCUGGAGGGGCUGAACUGGUAGGUGAUCCAGAGCCCUCUACAAAUUGAGGAAAAACAAAAGGGAAUACUCAUAGAGCUAACGGUGGAAGGGCCUGUCUCAGAAAAACGGAAUAAGCAGCUCAUAUAUAAAUAAUCCACGAGGACAGAUCCUUCCAGCCUUUCCUGAAGCAGCUGCAGCUCCCUCAUCACGUUGCCACUGCCCCUAAGACUGUACAGCCUUGGUCUCUCUACCAUUACAGAUGGUUCUUUCUGUUUCUUUCCACUCUCUUCCUCUUGCCUUUUGAGGCACUUACUACUUGUUCUCAUACCUCUCUGAUGACCUCUUCCAAGCAACUUCAUAAGUGACCCUAAAAUUUUGGUCUGAACCCUGGGUCUUCCCCUUGUCCUAUUCCGUUCCUGGCUGGUGAACUCACAGCAUUAGCACAUCCUAGGCAGGGGCAGGGGCUUGGAAAGUAGUGAGAGAGAGCAUUCAAAUAAAUACUUUAAAACUACUUCAGUUGAAUCCCUACUUUUUGAAAAAAUCAAAAAACCAUGAAAAGCCUUUAACUAGAAAACCUUUUUUUGUUGUUGUUACUUGGAAGUAAUUCCAAGAGUGAAUUCAAGUCCAUUUUGUCCUUGUUUACUCCUAGUACACAGUACAUGCCUGGAAACCAGUAGAAAAACACCAGAAUGGGUAGGUUUUCCCCGCAGCCUUGAGACUACACAGAGCUGGAGCUGAAUCCUUGCCCCCGGCCUGGCUCCCUUCCUGGGCCUUUUUCCUCCCCGCUCCUACUUCAGAAGGUAAAGCAGGGAUCACAGGUCACGGGUGUACCAGCUUCAGAGAGUAGCAGGACUGAAAAGGGUUCAAAGGGACAAAUUAUGGCAGAAAUCUAAACAGUAUUUGGGAACAUAAGAUAGUGUGAGCUUAAUAACCCCAAACAAGAACAACAUGUGUUUUUAAAAGUAUUUCAUACUCGUCCAAUUUUUCUGGCCAUUUUCCUUUAUUCAUUUUCUGUGAAGGGAAACAAGUGAAACUAGAAACUACUGUUACUCCUUUUAUUCAAGCACCUAGAUCGAUCAUGAAAGGCGUGAGAAGUCACAUUGGGUCACCAAGCUCUUCUUUUAAAAGCGUGAAUAAAAGGAAAAGAAGACAGUCAACAACAAGUUGUGAAGUAGUUGAUGUGCUGUGGGUUUUGAACUUCAGUGCUUAACAACACUUAAGCCAAAGUUUGUACGUUGUCAUGAAAUAAGGCAACUAAAAUGCUCGGCUUCUUCUAAGUGCUCAGGACGUGCAGCUGCUAUUGUUGCCAUGUAUAAAGGUGGCGCUCUCAGGAAAUUCUAGUCGUGUUCCUUCCAGGUCAGGAUGGAUUUGUUUUGAGCUAUUCUAUUUUGUGUGUGUGAUAAUUUGUGUGGCAGAGGGAACAGUGACGUUCGUGGCCUUUAUCGACUCUUUCCUAUGUGCUAAGCAUUGCAUGGAGCGUGUACAGGCAGAUGCUGCCAUCAUCCCAGUUUUACCGAACGUUCAUACUAAAAGAAGGUUCUAGUCAGUUCCCAGCAGAGAUCAUAGUCUCGCCAUAACCAAAUGCUAGUUGACUUUAAUAUGCAGCGAUAGGGAGUUCCUGUCGUGGCGCAGUGGUUAACAAAUCCGACUAGGAACCAUGAGGUUGCGGGUUCGAUCCCUGCCCUUGCUCAGUGGGUUAACGAUCCGGCGUUGCCGUGAGCUGUGGUGUAGGUUGCAGACGCGGCUCGGAUCCCGCAUUGCUGUGGCUCUGGCGUAGGCCAGUGACUACAGCUCCGAUUCAACCCCUAGCCUGGGAACCUCCAUAUGCUGCAGGAGCGGCCCAAGAAAUCGCAAAAAGACAAAAAAAAAAAAAAAAAAAAAAAA